GCCGGGGUAGCUCAGCUGGUUAGAGCGCCCGGCUCAUAACCGGGAGGUCCCGGGUUCAAAUCCCGGCCCCGGCA
rnacentral:tRNA from 1 species